GGCAAGUUGAUAAAUCCAAGAACAAAGGGCAGUAUAUAAUUAUCCAUACAAAUCUCAGGACGGAGACAGCAGAAUACAGGGCAUUGAAGAAGCUUGCAAAUAUGAAUAGAUACUUGGUGCUGAUUGUCCUCCUCCUGGCUGUGAUCAUUCAUAUCUCUGUCAUAGAUGGUCUGAAAAGUGAAAAACUUUGCAGCCAGUGCUCUAAAUGUGACACAAAUCAGUGCCCUGCAAGUGAUGCCUAUCCACAUAUGACUGCAUUUGAUGAUACCCUCAUUGCUGGUGCUUUGCAGUCUGAUUAUGUUGAUGCAAAUGAUAGAGGUGUUUACUCGGUGCCAAAUAUCAAGGGUGGCACAUCAGCAGAAUAUAAUGCUUACUUUGGCUGGGAAUCUACUUCUGGUUCAGCUUCUGGCUACCAUAGGUAAUUAUUGCAGCCGUAGACGAGCAUGGAAAGGUAAGGCUUCGGUCACUGAAGUCACUGAAAAGCUUAGCAGAGGCUGACUGGAAAUCCAUCAAUCCACCAAAGAAGUUAAACCACAGAGGAUUCCGGUUCUGGGUAUCUCAUAGCACAGGAAAAUGCUUGACAGUUCUGGGAGGGAAGAAGGAUAAGAAAACUGUGGGAGUAGCUGAGUGCAAGUUUGAUGGCUCCAAUACUUUCCAGCUCUUCGCCUUCCGCUUCCAUUAUCACAAAGCUUUCUGCUGUUGCGGAGUUUACAAUGAGUGAUUUCUGGAAGACUGGAACAGCCUGCAAAAUAGCAUUUUUAGAACAUAUGCAUAUAAUAUCACAAGAAUUAUAUGCAUCUAUGUGAAUUAUAUCUUUCAUUUCUGAUUAUCUGAUCGGUUUCAUGAUUGUGAAGCUCUUUUCCAUUCGAUGUGUGGGAAUAAAAUGAGCCCCUAGAGAUAGUUUCAGGUCAAAACUCACUACUGGACGUUGCCCUCCUUGUCUGCCAGGACCAAUUGU
rnacentral:misc_RNA from 1 species